CCUACGGGGGACAGCAGUGAGGAAUAUUGGUCAAUGGUCGGGAGACUGAACCAGCCAAGCCGCGUGAGGGAUGAAGGUACAGAGUAUCGUAAACCUCUUUUGUCAGGGAACAAAGGCGGGGACGUGUCCCCGGAUGAGUGUACCUGAAGAAAAAGCAUCGGCUAACUCCGUGCCAGCAGCCGCGGUAAUACGGAGGAUGCGAGCGUUAUCCGGAUUUAUUGGGUUUAAAGGGUGCGCAGGCGGUCUGUUAAGUCAGCGGUCAAAGCCCGGGGCUCAACCCCGGCCCGCCGUUGAAACUGGCAGUCGCGAGUUGGAGAGAAGGAUGCGGAAUGCGCGGUGUAGCGGUGAAAUGCAUAGAUAUCGCGCAGAACUCCGAUUGCGAAGGCAGCAUGCCGGCUCCACACUGACGCUGAGGCACGAAAGCGUGGGUAUCGAACAGGAUUAGAUACCCUGGUAGUC
rnacentral:rRNA from 1 species